rnacentral:sRNA from 1 species
UGGUUGAUAUAUAUAUAUAUAUAUAUAUAUAUAUUAUCAAAUCAUCAAAAACCACAAUUUCCACCUGGUCCUCCAAAUGAAAAGGCUUCUCCUGUAGAUUUGGUAUAACCCCAAUAUGUCGCCCUAAAACAAUUAUAGGAAUCGACAUAAAGUCGUAUUUUCCUACCUUCAAUGUAAACUCUUUUAUAGUCCGAGUUUAUAACAACGACGUUAUUAAAAUGUGCCGUCUUUUUAAAGUCCGCAACUGGAAAAAACCCAUUGCCCAUUGGAGGACUGAUUCCAUCGGGAGAUUCAAAAGUAUUUCCUCCAUAUCUUACUAGAGAAGCUCCAUUAUUCAAAUGUGAAAAUAACUCUUUAGGCCAAUAACCAAUGACUUCAUCAAACAUUUUAAGUGCCCAAUUUCCGCUGAAGCCAUCCUAAUACAUAUAAAACAAAAGAAAAA